UAGUCUUGUUUCUAUAUCAUAGUACGGAAGUACUAAAAGAAACAACUGUGUAACAAAUACACACUAAGUGUUGUUACUUAACUCUCUUCAUCCUAUCAAGUAACUUUUGAUCUUUAUUGGUGAUGUCUCAGCAAAUUCUGAAAUUAUAAUUUUUGAUUAGUAGUCAUUAUGGAAAUGCUACAAGGACCUUCGGAAACGCUUGCGUCCUAAGAGUGGAGAAUUGCUUUAAACGGACGAACUUCCGGAAGAUUCAUGAUGGGGAAUGUCCACAAUGAAGAUAAUUAUGAUUGCAAUAUGCGAAUGCGAU
rnacentral:lncRNA from 1 species